AACAAACGCUGGCGGCGUGUCUUAAGCAUGCAAGUUGAGCGGCAAGGAGGAGAGAUCCUCCCUAGAGCGGCGGACUGGUGAGUAACGCGUGGGUAAUCUAUCGUAGGCAUGGGGAUAGUCACUAGAAAUAGUGGGUAAUACCGAAUACGUUCCAUGAGGGGAGUAUUCAUGGAAGAAAGGGUGCUACGGCACUGGCCUUAGGUGAGCUCGCGUCCCAUUAGCUAGUUGGUGAGGUAAAGGCCCACCAAGGCGAUGAUGGGUAGCCGGCCUGAGAGGGUGGCCGGCCACACUGGGACUGAGACACGGCCCAGACUCCUACGGGAGGCAGCAGUGGGGAAUAUUGCGCAAUGGACGGAAGUCUGACGCAGCGACGCCGCGUGAGCGACGAAGGCCUUCGGGUCGUAAAGCUCUGUUCUUGGGGACGAAUAAAAUAGACGGUACCCUAAGGAGAAAGACCCCGGCCGUAACUACGUGCCAGCAGCCGCGGUAAGCUCGUCUCUA
rnacentral:rRNA from 1 species